CUUACCCUUAGGACUGGGAUAACUCUGGGAAACUGGGGAUAAUACUGGAUAUUAGGCUAUGCCUGGAAUGGUUUGCCUUUGAAAUGUUUUUUUUCGCCUAAGGAUAGGUCUGCGGCUGAUUAGGUCGUUGGUGGGGUAAUGGCCCACCAAGCCGAUGAUCGGUACGGGUUGUGAGAGCAAGGGCCCGGAGAUGGAACCUGAGACAAGGUUCCAGACCCUACGGGGUGCAGCAGGCGCGAAACCUCCGCAAUGUACGAAAGUGCGACGGGGGGAUCCCAAGUGUUAUGCUUUUUUGUAUGACUUUUCAUUAGUGUAAAAAGCUUUUAGAAUAAGAGCUGGGCAAGACCGGUGCCAGCCGCCGCGGUAACACCGGCAGCUCGAGUGGUAGCUGUUUUUAUUGGGCCUAAAGCGUUCGUAGCCGGUUUGAUAAGUCUU
rnacentral:rRNA from 1 species